GAUGAACGCUGGCGGCGUGCCUAAUACAUGCAAGUCGAGCGAACAGAUGAGGAGCUUGCUCCUCUGACGUUAGCGGCGGACGGGUGAGUAACACGUGGAUAACCUACCUAUAAGACUGGGAUAACUUCGGGAAACCGGAGCUAAUACCGGAUAAUAUAUUGAACCGCAUGGUUCAAUAGUGAAAGACGGUUUUGCUGUCACUUAUAGAUGGAUCCGCGCCGCAUUAGCUAGUUGGUAAGGUAACGGCUUACCAAGGCAACGAUGCGUAGCCGACCUGAGAGGGUGAUCGGCCACACUGGACCUGAGCCACGGUCCAGACUCCUACGGGAGGCAGCAGUAGGGAAUCUUCCGCAAUGCGCGAAAGCUUGACGGAGCAACGCCGCGUGAGUUAUGAAGGUCUUCGGAUCGUAAAACUCUGUUAUUAGGGAAGAACAAAUGUGUAAGUAACUAUGCACGUCUUGACGGUACCUAAUCAGAAAGCCACGGCUAACUACGUG
rnacentral:rRNA from 1 species